AUGGUCUGGGACACAUUCCUAAAGGUUUGGGAAUGGUCUGGGAUGUGUCCUAAAGGUUUGGGAUUGGUCUGGGAGGUGUCCUAAAGGUUUGGGAAUGGUCUGGGAGCUGUCCUAAAGGUUUGGGAAGGGUCUGGGAUGUGUCCCAAAGGUUUGGGAAGAGUCUGGGAGGUGUCCUAAAGGUUUGGGAAUGGUCUGGGACGUGUCCCUAAAGGUCUGGGAAGGGUCUGGGAUGUGUCCCUAAAGGUUUGGGAAUGGUCAGGGACACAUCCCUAAAGGUCUGGGAAUGGUCUGGGAUGUGUCCCUAAAGGUCUGGGAAGGGUCUGGGAUGUGUCCCUAAAGGUUUGGGAAUGGUCUGGGAUGUGUCCCUAAAGGUUUGGGAAUGGUCUGGGAGGUGUCCCUAAAGGUUUGGGAAUGGUCUGGGAUGUGUCCCUAAAGGUUUGGGAAUGGUCUGGGAGGUGUCCCUAAAGGUUUGGGAGUGGUCUGGUAUGUGUCCCUAAAGGUUUGGGAAUGGUCUGGGAUGUUUCCCAAAGGUUUGGAAAGCUGGUCAGUGAGAGGUCAGAAAUGCGGAAUUUUCCCCAAAUGUGGAUUUCUCCCUGAUCCCUGCAGGUUUGAGCUGGUCAGUGAGGGGUCAGAAAUGCGGAAUUUCCCCAAAAUGUGGGAUUUCCCCCAAAAUGUGGGUGGGAUAU